rnacentral:lncRNA from 1 species
UAUAAAUAUGUAGGUGUUUAUCUGUGAUUUGCUCCAUUCAGCCUCUCUCCAGUUGCCAGGAAAGCCCUGCUUUCCAGCUGCACAACCAGUAUUAUCACUGUGUGCUAUUUUUGGCUGCUGAGUACAUUUCAAGUCACGUCAUCCUUCCCAAGCCAACACUGGCAUGAAGGGCGGAAACUCAUCUUUCCACUCCUUUGUCAUCUGCUUCUGCUCCCGUCUGCUCGCUGGCACUGCCUGCUCAGUCCCCACGGCAGAGGGGUCUCCAGACAUUUUUCCCUGAUCCUCCCCAUUUCCUUGAGCGAGUGGCUUUCCAACCAAAGCUUCGGGUGGGAGGCUUCAUGUUGGCAUCCAGAGUACAUGUCCCAAAUAUGUCCAGACCCACCUUCUGAUCGUAGUGCACAGGAGCUCCUGUGCAUGACAGGUCAUCAUCUGGAUUGCCUGUGCUCCUGGGGCUCUCCUUUUGUGCUGUGCUGAUCCUGGCUGCGAGUCUCUACUACACCAGCAUGAAGCAAGACACCAAAGUCCUGGAGGAGUUUCAAUCCCGACUUGUUAUCUUCUUUCUUCAG